rnacentral:ncRNA from 1 species
CGUCUUCAGGGCGGGGUGCGAUUCCCCACCGGCAGUAUAGUCUGCGAACCCUCUUCGGGGGGCCGAAUCGGUGCAAUUCCGAUACCGACGGUAUAGUCCGGAUGAGAGAAGACG